CGGAAAUUGACACGGACACGAUACGAAUACGGGAAAACAACAAUCCUGAAAUAGGGGACACGGGUAAGGCGUAUAACAAGGCAUAUAAUAUAUCAAAAAAACGAGAAUUUGACAACCUAUUCAAUAAAACAUUAAAUAAUUAGCCUCAAAACACACAAUUUUAAUUAAACAAGUAAAUAAACAAAGUGUACGAAUAUAGUCUCAUACAUAUCAAGAAACCAUCAAACCAAAUACAUGUCUUAAUAAUAGUGUUACAAAUCAUAAAUAAAAUAAACAUAAGUACUAAUAGUUUCAUUCUUCACCAUCACCAAGUACAUCAUCAAAAAUCAUAUUUUCCAUCUCGGGUUCAUCAAGUGAGAGCUCAGUCAUCUCUAGAAUACCAACCUCUCCUAGGUUGUCAUGCUCAUCUCCACCCACAUCCCACAACUUAGAUCUCCCCUUAGUGUAUUCUUCACUUCUCCUAGAAAGUAAUCGAAGGUUGUUAUGAAUGUAUACCAAGUCUUGAGCACGUUUAGGAGUAAGCUUAUUUCUAGUGCAAGAUAAGAAUGAAUAAACUUAUAGGUGCUCCAAUUCCUUUCACUACAAGAAGAGGAAGAAGGUUGACCUAAUAGCUUAUAAGCUAAACCUUGAAGCAUAGGCACUUGGGGACCAUAACUGCCCACCAAUUUUUAGCAUCCAUCAAAACCAUAUCAUGCAUGCAAUCAAUGUUGAGAAAGAUCCCCUCUGAUUUUUGUGAAAAUAUUGCAAAUUCCGUGUUGAUCUUGAAUCUUUCAUCGGGACUUUGGAAAAGCUUUUGAAAGCAUUGUAAUCUUUGUGUGAAAAUUUCAUUGUCGGCAUUUGGAGCAACUCGUCCCGGGACCUCAUUAAGCCAUUCUUCCGUGUAAAAUCUUUAACAACAAAAUAAGAUUAGCCAUAAGAAAUUAAAUAAAAAAACAAGGAAAAAUAAAUAAAGAUAAUAAAGAUGAAUUAAAUAAGUAAAACUUACCUUGGAUUCAAAGAAUGUGCUAAUGAAUGGAGUAAUGUACUACCCUUACUCCAACGACUACUAAGAAUCCCUUUAACUACAUUAAAGAAGGUAGAUUCUUCAUAAUCUAGUUUACCCUCUUUCUUGUAGAUGGCAUCUUUCACCUUUUGAACCAUAAUGUCCCAUCUUUCAUAAACCAAAUGUAAGGAAAUUUGUCAGUGUCACAAACCCUAAUCAUCUCAUAGAUUGGGCGUGUGAAAUCAAGAAUGUAAUCAACUUUUUCCCACCAUAUUUCAUCCAAAAAAAUUUUCCAUACAUGUGAGGCUUGCCGCGUCGAUAAUCCUUGUAUAAGGACCAAUUCUCACUAAUAACCACUACUACAUUUUUAAUCUAAUACAACGGUACAAAAUUAGCUAAUACAACGGCUAAUUUCAUACCGUUGUAUUAGACUAGGCUAAUACAACGGUUUAUACUAAAACAGGUCUAAUACAACGGUUUAUCCUAACCGUUGUAUUAGAAUAAGAACCCGUUGUAUUAGACCUAGUCUAAUACAACGGAUCAAAAAAAAAAAAGAAAAAAGAAAAGUCGGGAUAUUAAUUAGCCUAGCUUAUAACCCACGCGUCUCUCAACUUUCCUCAUUCUCUCUCCCUCAUUCUCGCCUCUCAUUCUCUCUCUUUCGAAUCCUCGUCUUCUCUCAUUCUCUCUCUCUCGAACACUCUCUCGCCUCUCAUUCUUUCCUAUUUGACUUGAGUUUAUAAGAGAUACAUCAAUACCAAAAUUACGAUGCGAAGACAUUGAUCAGUUGAACUUCUGGACUUGGACAAUCUGGACAGGAUUCCUAAUCCAACGGAUUGCCUAAUCCGUUGGAUUAGGUUCCUUUUACCGUUGUAUUAGACCUAAUCCAACCCUAGAAAAUGUGACGGUUGCUAGCCGUUGUAUUAGGUCUAUUACAACGGUUUUGAGCACCUAAUACAACGGAAAUAGGGGUUGGAUUAGCUCUCAAAUGUAGUAGUGAACCAUUGAUUGAAGUGAUGUUUUAAGGAGUUUCAACCAUUUAAGCAUGCACACAAUUGAAGCAAAACGAGUAUCGGCAAUGCAAAGUAGUUUUAAUGGAGAAAACUUAUUGAACAUUGAAAGCCUCAUCAAAUGAUUCAUUAUGUAAUUUUUAAUGAACAAGGCAUUUACAUGAA